UCUGUACACUCUAAAACACCACAAUAUCCAACAUACACAAACCUCAGGGAAGGGUUAGUAAAUACACACAAGAGUGGAAUCAUGGUGCUCUUUGUUCCUGAAUGGAAUGGUCCCACAGAAAAAGCACAGGAUACAGCACAACAUAAGGGCACCUGUUAUAUAUGAAGUGAGCAAAACACACUAGCAUUUUCUAUAUGCGUAUGGGGUAACCUGCAUAGGUUAAAGGGCCUUUUAAGUUCAUUUAAAAAUCAGGCAAGUUGUCUAUAUGCAUUUUUAAAAUAAUCUGGAGACCACUGCAAUCACAUUG